AUGGUUGACGAUGCAAUUGAACCCCACUCCUACAAUCGCAAUAGGGAGCCCUCUGUUCCUUACCUCUCACCGCUUCAACCUCGCAUACAUCAUAUCAUCCUCCACUGCUUCCAGCAGCUGCAAACAGAUCCCAUCACUCGGGGUGUCCAGUCGGAGGUUGUUUUGACUCAGCCAGAUGCAGAGACUGGCCGUCCCACAAGCAGUCUGAAACGGACCUGUAAAACUAGUGGGUUCGAUCUUAGCAGCUACAACAUGUACUGGGUCCGACAAAUUCCCGGACAGGGUCUGGAGUGGCUGGUACGCUACUAUAGUCCAUCCAGCAAUAACUAUGCACCAGCGAUUAAGGGUCGAUUUACUGCAUCCAAAAACACUUCAAACAACAUUUUCGCUUUGCACAUGGGGAGCCUGAAGGUCGAAGACACCGCCAUCUAUUACUGUGCAAGUGGUUAUAGCUGGAGUGAGUACUGGGGCCAAGGGACCAUGGUGUCAGUGACUUCAGAGAUACCUUCUCCCCCCACGCUGUAUGGUCUGGUCACCUCCUGUCAGAAGCACAACACCGGUUCCGUGAUCUUUGGUUGUUUGGUGAUGGACUAUUCCCGUGACGUCACCAAUGUAACCUGGAAGAAAGGUGGGGAGCUAAUCACGACUGGAUUGAAGACUUAUUCAUCAGUGAGAAACAAGAACGGAACCUACACCCUGAGCAGCCAGUUAACCGUGCCCAACUCAGCGGUAGAUUGCCCCAGCAAAAUCUACUGUGAGGUUCAACACAGCGGGUCACACAAAAGCAAAGAAAUGCCAUGUCAAGAUAAUUUGUGCGAUGUAUUUACUAAAGGUCCAGAUAUUCUCCAACCAACUCUUCUCCUUACUGUGAGCUCCAGUGAAGAAAUCGCAAACAGCAAGUUUGCAACCGCUGUCUGUUCAAUCAUCGAUUUCCAUCCGAAGUCAAUCUCCAUGAUCUGGUUGAAAAAUGGCCGACCCUUGGAUUCUGGCUUCUUCACGUCUCCCGUGUGUGAGGCAAACGGGAAUUUCUCGGUGACGAGUCGGCUGAUGGUCCCUUAUGGUGAAUGGUUCAACAGCGCAGUCUAUACCUGUCAGGUCACUCAUGGAGAGAACAUUCAAAGUAAAAAUAUUACCUCACUCCAGGAUACCGAGUGCCACGCUAACACCGUUAAAAUCCUCCCACCACCAGUAGAACAAGUCUUACUGGAGGGGACGUUGACGUUAACCUGCGUUUUGUCCAAUCUUCCUUCUGGAGUCAACGUUACCUGGACACAGGAAAAGAAGCCUCUGAAAUCAGAGAUUGCUGACCAGCCUGGACAGAAUCCCGAAAGCCUGAUCAGCAAAUUGGACAUUUCUACUGAAGUCUGGCUGAGUGGUGUUACUUUUGAAUGUGUGGUGUACUAUCAGAAUCUAUCGACUUCGCUGAGAGACUCCAUCCACAAGGAGAAAGUGAUUAAUCUGCUGGAGCCAUCAGUGUCGGUCCUCCUGCCACUAACAAAAGAAAUCCCCGCUCAGACGUUUCAAUCCCUCACCUGUUUAGUGAGAGGUUUCUCCCCCCAAGUGAUCUUCGUCAAGUGGACAAGCAAUGACAAGCCAGUGAAUCCCAGUAACUACAAGAACACCGAGGUGAUGGCAGAGAGUGACAACAUCUCCUUCUUCAUGUACAGCCUGUUAUCCAUUACAGCGGAGGAGUGGGCCAGUGGUGCUUCUUACUCCUGUGUGGUGGGACAUGAGGCAAUUCCAUUGAAGAUCAUCAACAGAACAGUCGAUAACUCCAGCGAUUUGGAGGCUCAUCCCGGGAAUGCAAGCUCCAGUCGCUCGGCAUUUUUGAGAAAACGGAGAAGGUGCACCUCGCUGAUUUCGGCGGUCUCUAGUGCCCCUCCUUGCCGCAAGCGGCCUGUGCGAGCGUGA